rnacentral:rRNA from 1 species
UACGAAGGGGGCUAGCGUUGCUCGGAAUCACUGGGCGUAAAGCGCGCGCAGGCGGUUUUUCAAGUCAGUGGUGAAAGCCCGGAGCUCAACUCCGGAACUGCCAUUGAAACUGUAAAACUUGAGGACGAGAGAGGUGAGUGGAAUUCCCAGUGUAGAGGUGAAAUUCGUAGAUAUUGGGAAGAACACCGGUGGCGAAGGCGGCUCACUGGCUCGUAUCUGACGCUCAGGCGCGACAGCGUGGGGAUCAAACAGG